rnacentral:rRNA from 1 species
GAUGAACGUUGGCGGCGUGCCUAAUACAUGCAAGUCGAGCGAACAGAUGAGGAGCUUGCUCCUCUGACGUUAGCGGCGGACGGGUGAGUAACACGUGGAUAACCUACCUAUAAGACUGGGAUAACUUCGGGAAACCGGAGCUAAUACCGGAUAAUAUAUUGAACCGCAUGGUUCAAUAGUGAAAGACGGUUUUGCUGUCACUUAUAGAUGGAUCCGCGCCGCAUUAGCUAGUUGGUAAGGUAACGGCUUACCAAGGCAACGAUGCGUAGCCGACCUGAGAGGGUGAUCGGCCACACUGGAACUGAGAUACGGUCCAGACUCCUACGGGAGGCAGCAGUAGGGAAUCUUCCGCAAUGGGCGAAAGCCUGACGGAGCAACGCCGCGUGAGUGAUGAAGGUCUUCGGAUCGUAAAACUCUGUUAUUAGGGAAGAACAAAUGUGUAAGUAACUAUGCACGUCUUGACGGUACCUAAUCAGAAAGCCACGGCUAACUACGUG